rnacentral:rRNA from 1 species
GACGAAAGCGUGGGUAGCAAACCGGAUUAGAUACCCGGGUAGUCCACGCUGUAAACGAUGAAUACUGGGUCUUCGGGGAAUCGACCCCUUGUGGACCGAAGCUAACGCGUUAAGUAUUCCGCCUGGGGAGUACGGUCGCAAGACUAAAACUCAAAGGAAUUGACGGGGGCCCGCACAAGCAGCGGAGCGUGUGGUUUAAUUCGAUGGUAAACGAAGAACCUUACCUAGGUUUGACAUAUAAGUAGUACUGACCCGAAAGGUGAUGGACCCGCAAGGGAGCUUAUACAGGUGCUGCAUGGUUGUCGUCAGCUCGUGCCGUGAGGUGUUGGGUUAAGUCCCGCAACGAGCGCAACCCUCGUGGAUAGUUGUUUUCUUUAUCCAGACUGCUUUUAAAGAGGAAGGUGGGGACGACGUCAAAUCAUCAUGGCUCUUACACCUAGGGCUACACACACGCUACAAUGGAUAGUACAGACGGUUGCUAAGUCGCGAGAUGGAGCUAAUCCGAAAAAGCUAUCCCCAAUUGGAAUUGUAGGCUGAAACUCGCCUGCAUGAACGUGGAGUUGCUAGUAACCGCAGGUCAGAAUACUGCGGUGAAUACGUUCCCGGGCCUUGUACACACCGCCCGUCACGUCAUGGAAGUUUGAAACACUUGAAGUCGUUGGGCUUACCCUUAUGGGACGCAGACGCCGAGAGUGGGGCAAAUGACUGGGACGAAGUCGUAACAAGGUAGCUGUACCGGAAGGUGCGGCUG